rnacentral:rRNA from 1 species
GAUGAACGCUAGCUACAGGCUUAACACAUGCAAGUCGAGGGGCAGCAUGAUUGAAGCUUGCUUCAAUUGAUGGCGACCGGCGCACGGGUGAGUAACACGUAUCCAACCUUCCGUACACUCAGGGAUAGCCUUUCGAAAGAAAGAUUAAUACCUGAUGGUAUCUUAAGCACACAUGUAAUUAAGAUUAAAGAUUUAUCGGUGUACGAUGGGGAUGCGUUCCAUUAGGUAGUAGGCGGGGUAACGGCCCACCUAGCCUACGAUGGAUAGGGGUUCUGAGAGGAAGGUCCCCCANAUUGGAACUGAGACACGGUCCAAACUCCUACGGGAGCAGCAGUGAGGAAUAUUGGUCAAUGGACGAGAGUCUGAACCAGCCAAGUAGCGUGAAGGAUGAAGGUCCUACGGAUUGUAAACUUCUUUAUAAGGGAUAAACUCUCCCACGUGUGGGAGCUUGUAUGUACCUUAUGAAUAAGCAUCGGCUAACUCCGUGCCAGCAGCCGACGG